rnacentral:misc_RNA from 1 species
UCUGGGUUUAUCCCAGCGGUCCCGUCAGAAAAAUAUAACUGACGGCGAGGGUUGCGCUCGUUGCGGGACUUAACCCAACACCUCACGGCACGAGCUGACGACAGCCAUGCACCACCUGCGCAUAAGUCCCUUGCGGGAGGUUCUGGCUUUCACCAAAAUUUCCUAUGCAUGUCAAACCCAGGUAAGGUUCUUCGCGUUGCCUCGAAUUAAACCACACGCUCCGCUGCUUGUGCGGGCCCCCGCCUAUUCCUUUGAGUUUUAGCCUUGCGGCCGUACUCCCCAGGCGGGCCACUUAAUGCGUUUGCUGCGGCGCGGAGGGGGUCGAUACCCCCCACACCUAGUUCACAACGUUUAGGGCGUGGACUAC